rnacentral:rRNA from 1 species
AUUCCAGCUCCAAUAGCGUAUAUUAAAGUUGUUGCAGUUAAAACGCUCGUAGUCGGAUUUCGGGGCCUGCCUGCCGGUCUGCCGAUGGGUAUGCACUGGCAGGCGCGUCCUUCCUUCCGGAGACUGUCCCUACUCUUAACUGAGCGGGGUCGGGAGACGGAUCGUUUACUUUGAAAAAAUCAGAGUGUUUCAAGCAGGCAGCUCGCUCUUGCAUGGAUUAGCAUGGGAUAAUGAAAUAGGACUUUGGUGCUAUUUUGUUGGUUUCGAACACCGAAGUAAUGAUUAACAGGGACAGUCAGGGGCACUCGUAUUCCGCCGAGAGAGGUGAAAUUCUCAGACCAGCGGAAGACGAACCACUGCGAAAGCAUUUGCCAGGGAUGUUUUCAUUG